rnacentral:tRNA from 1 species
GGCCCAAUGGCUAAGAUGGCAAAGCGCCUAUCUUGUAAGCAGGAGAUCAUAAGUUCGAGUCUCAUUGGGACCU